rnacentral:misc_RNA from 1 species
GAUCAUUACCGAGUGCAGGUCUGCCCCCGGGCAGGCCUAACCUCCCACCCGUGAAUACCUGACCAACGUUGCUUCGGCGGUGCGCCCCCCCCCCCCGGGGGUAGCCGCCGGAGACCACACCGAACCUCCUGUCUUUAGUGUUGUCUGAGCUUGAUAGCAAACCUAUUAAAACUUUCAACAAUGGAUCUCUUGGUUCCGGCAUCGAUGAAGAACGCAGCGAACUGCGAUAAGUAAUGUGAAUUGCAGAAUUCAGUGAAUCAUCGAGUCUUUGAACGCACAUUGCGCCCCCUGGCAUUCCGGGGGGCAUGCCUGUCCGAGCGUCAUUGCUGCCCUUCAAGCCCGGCUUGUGUGUUGGGUCGUCGUCCCCCCCGGGGGACGGGCCCGAAAGGCAGCGGCGGCACCGCGUCCGGUCCUCGAGCGUAUGGGGCUUUGUCACCCGCUCGAUUAGGGCCGGCCGGGCGCCAGCCGGCGUCUCCAACCUUCUAUUUUACCAGGUUGACCUCGGAUCAG